AGACCUCGCUUUUCUUAGCUCAUUGCUAUCGCAGUUAUCACAAGGGAAUCUGUGCUACAAAGCUAAGUUACCAACAUAAUCAUCUUUGGGUGUAGGCGGGGUAGAAAAUCGGGGCAUAGACAUUUAUUUGUAUGUAAACACAGGAGGGAUGCAAGGAAAUGAACUGCAUAUAGUAUGCCUUUAAAUACGAUUUGAAGGCAAAUUCCGUUAGUCACAACCAGUAUAGUAGUUUGAUUAUGACAGUUAGGCAAUCGCUGUACAUUAUUUCAUAUGCUUAUUUGUCCAGUGUAUUAUUAUUAUUAUUAUUAUUAUUAUUAUUAUUAUUAUUACAAAGUAUAAGAAGUAUACUAUUUUCUGUUUACGCCAUAUUCACACAGCACAUCCCACUCGAUAGUCUAUUAUACGAUUCUGUUUGUUUCCACUUUCGCUGUGUUCGUUAUUCUUAUCAGAUUUAACAGAGGGGAAACACAAGUAUUAUUUUCAGAAUGGCUGACAAGCAGAGGCUGGACAUAACCAACCAACCGCAGGUGUCCCUUUACAUUUAAUCUCUGAACGUCAUUUAAUUUCUGACCAAUCUGCAUCCAACAGACAAAACCACCAUCACCAAGAAAGGAAGUGAAGUAUUUAAAUGGUUCUAAUGAGGAAGUUAUUCUCCAUAUCAAUACCUGCCGGAGUCCAAGGAAACAAAAGCCACCAUGAUUUCUCAUUUUGUCGCACUGCUUCUUACAAUAACAAAUGCAGGUUGUGUUCUUCAUCCGCCACGCACAGUUCAAUUCUCAUUUAAAAACCUGAUGACCCUCCUCACGUGGGAACCAGCUACAGGAAAUAGGAGUGAUACACUGUAUCAGGUGGAGUAUAAAAUACACGGAGCUUCUAGAUGGACACAGAAAGAAGAAUGUUGGAACAUCUCUUCGAUGCAGUGUGACCUCACAAAGAACAUGAGACAUGUGAAACACUUAAUGUGCGGCCGAGUGAGGGCUAUCAGUCACAGCAAUGAAUCUGUUUGGGUACCGACCAUGACCAUGACGCCAUAUUCUGACAUGACAAUUGAUCCUCCAAGAUUUCAUCUAGUUCCAGAGACUCAUUCCAUGCGAAUACACAUUCACCCAUUUAUUAAGAACAGUACAGCCGGGGAGAAGAUUGAGUAUACAAUUCAUCUAAAAGAAAGAAAUUGCUCUGUAGUCACUAAGACAACAGCACUUUAUACUUACCUGAUGGAAGACCUGGCUCCUGGGACAGAGUACUGUGUUUCUGUGUCCUUCAAGAUCUGGAUAAGCCACACUCUGUAUCAUGAUUACAUCUCACCCGAGAGUGAGAUCUGUGCCUUCACUGAAACGGGCAAGUCUGUAUCCCUUCCCCGGUGACAUAUACUGCUGGAGAUACUGUAACAUAGCUGUUGUUUUGGGUAUUAUAAUACAUCUGCUGGGACUGGUUGCAUAAACAUAGCCUUCAGUCUUAGACUUAACUUAUGUUUAAGUAGGACUUGAUAAACUGAUGACUUUAAGCCGUUGCAUCAAACUGUCAUAUGAUUCACUUUACGGAGUAGUACUUAAAUGAUUGACUUCGUCAAAUUUGCACGAUUAUGGGUGAUUUAAGACACUAAAAAGAAACAAAAACAUUGUGACAUCGAACGUUAGCGAUCCGUAACAUUGACAAGUACAUAUAAAAUAGUGAGUAAACAGAUUAACCCGCUGUUGUGAGGAACGUCAAAGACGUCCAAAAGCGAUACAAAAACAUUGUGCCAGAAGCCAAAAAAAUAUCCGAAAACAGGACCUCAGCCGAAAGUGAAGCGGACAAGCGAGUUUAUAAUUGAAAUUUAUGGGGUCGAGUCCCCCAUGUUUUGGGGAUUAACGGUGGGUUAGAGAGUGGUGUCAGUGGGAGAGAGAGAACAAAUGCAAGUCCAGAUGAGUUGGACAACUAUUCAGGUAAGUCCCAAUAACUACUUACUUCAAAGUAUCUAGCUACCUGGCUACUCCUCUUCACAUUUCAUUGAUGUGAUAUUCAUUUUUCCCUAUAUCCCAUAAUCUAAAUUCCAUCACCAAAAAAAAACUGAACCUCUAUGCCAGACUAGGCUGUCCUCUAGCCCUGUCCAAGGUCCCCUCAUCCUGUCUGUCCCAGACCCCCACAGCGCAUCUGCUCCUCAAAGACCCGUCUUUGGCCCCUGCACCACACCAUGUCUGCUCCUCAAAGACCCGUCUCUGGCCCCUGCAUCAUGUCUGCUCCUCAAAGACCCAUCUCUGGCCCCUGCACCAUGUCUGCUCCUCAAAGACCCGUCUCUGGCCCCUGCACCGUGUCUGCUCCUUAAAGACCCGUCUCUGGCCCCUGCAUCAUGUCUGCUCCUCAAAGACCCAUCUCUGGCCCCCGCACCAUGUCUGCUCCUCAAAGACCCGUCUCUGGCCCCUGCACCGUGUCUGCUCCUUAAAGACCCGUCUCUGGCCCCUGCAUCAUGUCUGCUCCUCAAAGACCCAUCUCUGGCCCCCGCACCAUGUCUGCUCCUCAAAGACUGUCUCUGGCCCCUGCACCAUGUCUGCUCCUCAAAGACCCAUCUCUGGACCCUGCACCGCACCGUGUCUGCUCCUCAAAGACCCGUCUCUGGCCCCCGCACCGUGUCUGCUCCUCAAAGACCCGUCUCUGGCCCCUGCACCGUGUCUGCUCCUCAAAGACCCGUCUCUGGCCCCUGCACCGUGUCUGCUCCCCAGAGACCGUCUCUGGCCCCUGCACCAUGUAUGCUCCUCAAUGACCCGUCUCUGGCCCCCGCACCGCUCCGUGUCUGCUCCUCAAAGACCCCCCUGCGACCCUGUUCAGGAUAAGUGGAUGAUAGGCACCUGCAGCUGAUCCUGCACCUGAGUGUGGGGUUAUUAAUGCCUCUGUUGCUCAUAUCUGCACUGCUGCUCCUUAUGUGGGGGUUUAAAUCCAUAUAUCGGCCACCAUCCCGCCUGCCUCUCAACCUUAUUUUCAAGGUGGAAGAGAGGAAAACACUGCAGAAGAAGGCUUAUGUCAACAUGAAACAAUAUGACGACGACUCCGCGGACAGAAACACAAGGAACUGGGUUCAGUCCAUGGCAAAGACCAACCUCUACAUCAUGCUUCCACAGGAAACGCUACUGUCAGAGCACCCAAUCGUACACUCCUCAGAUGAGGCUUUGAUGGGGUUCUCUACCCCGCCUCCUCUUCUGGAAGGUGUGUGUCACGUUCAGGGAUAUGCCCCACAGCUCUCCUUUCCGGAGGCUCAGAUUGAUGAGCCAUAUGGCAUAGUUCAUCAUGGUCUAGGUUUAAUAGACACACAUGACUUCAGCAGUAGUGAUCCAAAAACUGACAACAUGUUGAGCCUUAGCUCUAAACCCGUUUAUUUGAACUCGGAGCACUCUGAACCAGUCUACACCAAUUCAGAGCAGCCCAAAUCUGUCUACAUUAACUCAGAGCAACCCAAAUCAGUUUAUGCCAACUCCAAGCACUCCAAGCCAGUUUAUUUGAACUCGGAGCACUCUGAACCAGUCUAUACCAACUUUGAGCCCCCAAAACUAGUCGAUACCAAUUCAGAGCCAUCUGCCCACUGAAAUCCAUUAGCACACCCACUGUGACAUACAUUUACAGGGCUGUUCGACUUAUAAUGGUAAACAUUAACAGAAAACCUUUUUUUUUAAUGUCUCCCUUUUUCAACCAGUUUAGAAUGCCCAGUACUUUCCUAAGUCCAGCAAAUCUCUGCUGCCUCCAAUUUGGAGUGUAAUGCACCCAGAAAUGCAUGCAGUUAGCCUCUGCAUCUUUUCACUCCACAGUCUGCUGCAGGGCGAAGCAACUGUACAGAUAAGGGGCUAUUGAGUAGUGAAACGGGGGGGGAAACCCUGCUGGUUGCAUUCCCCCAGGGUGCCGUCACAGUUGGUGCUGGCACGGCCAGGAUCCCUUCCAGGUCAUGAGGUGCAUUAAUGCACCAUGAACAAGUGCCUCAGCGGGAGGUAUCACUCAGGAGGCCUCAAUUUGCUCAAUUUUUGAAAUCCAGCUACAGUGUGGUACAUUGGAUUAGGGGCCAUGGUUGAAGCCGGUAAGCUGUAAGUUCAUACCAGGGCCUCUGCUAUUGCUCUCUGAUGCUUCAGUGAAAUAUCUGCUUGUAGGGAGAGAUACUGUGUGGAAAUAUAUUGUGUAGGUCUCCUAAGCACAUGAAACUGCAUUUUUCUACCCAAAGUGGAAAGCACUUUUAUUCGCUGGAAUUGUAGUUGUUAAAUUAGCUGGCAGGUAAUCGUUAUUUGUUUGUGGUUUAUUAGGCCUAUUUACAGGGUUAUAAAUAUACAUAGUAGUACAUAUUGUUUUACUCACAAAGUAGGUGUUUGAUGUUAAAAUGAAUAUACUAGCAUUAUCUAAGCGUUAACUAUCUGAGCAAAAAUAAUGUGGUUUCUAUUUUGUUUUCACUACCAGUGUAAAAAGGGCAUUCAAAUGACUGCUUUUACUGUUUUUGAGAUCUAUAGUGGGGCAAAUGGUAUAUGCGUUUAUGCAUUUCUUUGUGCAUCUGUAAUUAUAAUUCAUAUUUUUUUUAAUCUAUUUUACUUCCCCAUAGAUAUUUGCCAGCAAUAUAAAUGACCAGUUAUUCAUAUGUUUGUACAAUAAUGCAGGUUUAUCCUCUCUGUAUUGGCUGAGUAAUGGAAAUUCUCAGUGCUGUUGUCCUAAUGUGUUUCAACGCUUAUUUGUAUGCACUUGAAACUACACUGCUAAAUACUUAAUAAAAGCAUUGUAGGGAUUUGCA